UACGUAGGGUGCGAGCGUUAAUCGGAAUUACUGGGCGUAAAGCGUGCGCAGGCGGUUCGUUGUGUCGGCGGUGAAAGCCCCGGGCUUAACCUGGGAAUGGCCGUUGAAACUGGCGAACUGGAGUGUGGCAGAGGGGGGUGGAAUUCCGCGUGUAGCAGUGAAAUGCGUAGAGAGUCGGAGGAACACCGGUGGCGAAGGCGGCCAGCUGGCGCUGACCUGACGCUGAGGCGCGAAGGCGUGGGGAGCGAACGGG
rnacentral:rRNA from 1 species